ACCCCAUUGAGCCCCCCAGAACUCCAUAGCUCCUUCGCAAAUCCCUUUGUAGACCCUCUGGAUCCCCUCCCCGCUCUUAAGGCUUUUCCCCGUCGCUAGGCCUCACGGUUGCUAAGCAACCGACAGGGGCGACGCCACUUCCGGGGUCACUUCCGGUCGCGUCGCUACGGCAACCAAAGAUGGCGGUCUUGGAGGAGGAAAGUUCUUCCCUGUGGCUGGCGGCGCACGAUGACGCCAUGUCCGGGCUGCGCACGUUCAGCACGUGUAUGGCGCUGGCGGACCUUCAUGGCGAUGGGGACCACAAGGUUUGGGGCCAUGUGGGGCUGUGGG